GACAGAGGCCUCGAGCGUUAGGCGGAAUCACUGGGCUUAAAGCGUGUGUAGGCGGGCCCGUAAGUGUCUUGUGAAAUCCCACGGCUCAACCGUGGAACUGCUGGGCAUACUGCGGGUCUUGGGCCAACUAGGGGCAGCCGGAACAAGCGGUGGAGCGGUGAAAUGCGUAGAUAUCGCUUGGAACGCCAAAGGUGAAAACAGGUUGCUGGGUUGUGCCGACGCUGAGACACGAAAGCCAGGGGAGCAAACGGG
rnacentral:rRNA from 1 species